rnacentral:lncRNA from 1 species
CGACGCCCCGCGAUCUGCGGUAAAUCACAUUCCUUGCGAUUCUGCAAUCACAGCCCCGGAAGAAGGAGGUGGGCCGUUCUCGCAUUGCUGUAAAGGAAUACCUCAGACUGGGUAAUUUAUAAAGGAAGAGGAUUCAUUGGCUCACAGUUCUGCAGGCUGUACAGGAAGCGUAGCAGCAUCUGCUUCUUGGAAGGCCUCAGGAAGCUCCCGAUCAUGGCAGAAGGCAAAGAGGGAGCAGAUGCAUCACACGGCGAAAGCAGGAGCAACAGGAGCAGGAGGUGCCACACACUUUUUUUUUUUUUUUUUUUUUGAGAUGGAGUCUCGCUCUGUCGCCCAGACUGGAUGAAGUGGCGCGAUCUUGGCUCACUGUAACCUCUGCCGCCUGGGUUCAAGCGAUUCUAGUGCCUCAUCCUCCCGAGUAGCUGGGAGGCCUCCACAAUCACCGAUCACUGUGUCCAAGGGAGAAGGUGCUGGAGGAGCGUGUUCUGCUCCUCAAGACUGUGGCUCAGAAGCAACACAUGUCUCUUCUACUCCCAUUGGCCAGAAUUAGUCACAUGGCCCCAACCUAACUGCAGUGGUGGCUGAGAGUGUUGUCUUCCUGAGUACCCAGAAAGAGGAAAAUGCAAAAAGAUUUGGUGAAAAUAUAGCAUUGUCUUUGCCAUAACAAACAUACUUCCUUUGUUGAUUUUUUUAAAUCAAAGGCAAUAAUUGGAGAUAAAUGUGUUAUAUCUCCUCUUGGAGAAUAUUUUGUUGUCAUGUUAAAAGCCUCUGAAAAGUCUUGCUGUAAAUAUGGAACUUUUAUUUAAUCUGGCAUUUCCCAGAUUUGGUGAUUGAGGCCUUUUAAAUAAUUUAAUAGCUUUGGAAUUAAUAUUUGGAGAUAUAAACUUUGGGAAAUUGCCCUAAAUGUGUCAACUGGUGAGUCCAAAUCUGUGGGGGGAAAAUGAUGAGCAAAGAGAUGAGUAAUGUGUUCUACAAAAGUAGAGGACAGUCAGGUGCAGUGGCUCAGGCCUGUAAUCUCAGCACUUUGGGAGGCUGAGGUGGGCAGAUCACCUGUUAGGAGUUCAAGACCAGCCUGGCCAACAUGGUGAAACCCUGUUUCUACUAAAAAUAUAAAAAUUAGCCGGGGGUUGUGGCGGACACCUGUAAUCCCAGCUUCUAGGGAGGCUGAGGCAGGGG